GACGAACGCUGGCGGCGUGCUUAACACAUGCAAGUCGAGCGGAGCGGCGAACGGGUGCGUAACGCGUGCGUAACUUCCCCCCUCUCUGGGAUCACAGUUGGCAACGGCUGCUAAUACUGGAUCGUGGUGGAUGUCUCGCGUCCGAUCAGCUUGUUGGUGGGGUAGUGGCUUACCAAGGCGGCGACGGGUAGCCGGCCUGAGAGGGCGGUCGGCCACAUUGGGCUGAGAUACGGCCCAAACUCCGACGGGAGGCAGCAGUGGGGAAUAUUGCACAAUGGGGGAAACCCUGAUGCAGCGACGCCGCGUGCGGGAUGACGGCCUUCGGGUUGUAAACCGCUUUCAGCCGUGACGCGGUAGUGGCAGAAGAAGCACCGGCUAACUACGUGCCAGCAGCCGCGGUAAUAC
rnacentral:rRNA from 1 species